rnacentral:rRNA from 1 species
AAAGGGUGCGUAGGCGGCCUGUUAAGUCAGAGGUGAAAGACGGUAGCUCAACUAUCGCAGUGCCUUUGAUACUGAUGGGCUUGAAUGGACUAGAGGUAGGCGGAAUGAGACAAGUAGCGGUGAAAUGCAUAGAUAUGUCUCAGAACACCGAUUGCGAAGGCAGCUUACUAUGGUUUUAUUGACGCUGAGGCACGAAAGCGUGGGGAUCAAACAGGAUUAGAUACCCGUGU